rnacentral:rRNA from 1 species
GGUUAAGCGACUAAGCGUACACGGUGGAUGCCCUGGCAGUCAGAGGCGAUGAAGGACGUGCUAAUCUGCGAUAAGCGUCGGUAAGGUGAUAUGAACCGUUAUAACCGGCGAUUUCCGAAUGGGGAAACCCAGUGUGUUUCGACACACUAUCAUUAACUGAAUCCAUAGGUUAAUGAGGCGAACCGGGGGAACUGAAACAUCUAAGUACCCCGAGGAAAAGAAAUCAACCGAGAUUCCCCCAGUAGCGGCGAGCGAACGGGGAGCAGCCCAGAGCCUGAAUCAGUGUGUGUGUUAGUGGAAGCGUCUGGAAAGGCGCGCGAUACAGGGUGACAGCCCCGUACACAAAAAUGCACAUGCUGUGAGCUCGAUGAGUAGGGCGGGACACGUGGUAUCCUGUCUGAAUAUGGGGGGACCAUCCUCCAAGGCUAAAUACUCCUGACUGACCGAUAGUGAACCAGUACCGUGAGGGAAAGGCGAAAAGAACCCCGGCGAGGGGAGUGAAAAAGAACCUGAAACCGUGUACGUACAAGCAGUGGGAGCCUCUUUAUGGGGUGACUGCGUACCUUUUGUAUAAUGGGUCAGCGACUUAUAUUCUGUAGCAAGGUUAACCGAAUAGGGGAGCCGAAGGGAAACCGAGUCUUAACUGGGCGUUAAGUUGCAGGGUAUAGACCCGAAACCCGGUGAUCUAGCCAUGGGCAGGUUGAAGGUUGGGUAACACUAACUGGAGGACCGAACCGACUAAUGUUGAAAAAUUAGCGGAUGACUUGUGGCUGGGGGUGAAAGGCCAAUCAAACCGGGAGAUAGCUGGUUCUCCCCGAAAGCUAUUUAGGUAGCGCCUCGUGAAUUCAUCUCCGGGGGUAGAGCACUGUUUCGGCAAGGGGGUCAUCCCGACUUACCAACCCGAUGCAAACUGCGAAUACCGGAGAAUGUUAUCACGGGAGACACACGGCGGGUGCUAACGUCCGUCGUGAAGAGGGAAACAACCCAGACCGCCAGCUAAGGUCCCAAAGUCAUGGUUAAGUGGGAAACGAUGUGGGAAGGCCCAGACAGCCAGGAUGUUGGCUUAGAAGCAGCCAUCAUUUAAAGAAAGCGUAAUAGCUCACUGGUCGAGUCGGCCUGCGCGGAAGAUGUAACGGGGCUAAACCAUGCACCGAAGCUGCGGCAGCGACGCUUAUGCGUUGUUGGGUAGGGGAGCGUUCUGUAAGCCUGCGAAGGUGUGCUGUGAGGCAUGCUGGAGGUAUCAGAAGUGCGAAUGCUGACAUAAGUAACGAUAAAGCGGGUGAAAAGCCCGCUCGCCGGAAGACCAAGGGUUCCUGUCCAACGUUAAUCGGGGCAGGGUGAGUCGACCCCUAAGGCGAGGCCGAAAGGCGUAGUCGAUGGGAAACAGGUUAAUAUUCCUGUACUUGGUGUUACUGCGAAGGGGGGACGGAGAAGGCUAUGUUGGCCGGGCGACGGUUGUCCCGGUUUAAGCGUGUAGGCUGGUUUUCCAGGCAAAUCCGGAAAAUCAAGGCUGAGGCGUGAUGACGAGGCACUACGGUGCUGAAGCAACAAAUGCCCUGCUUCCAGGAAAAGCCUCUAAGCAUCAGGUAACAUCAAAUCGUACCCCAAACCGACACAGGUGGUCAGGUAGAGAAUACCAAGGCGCUUGAGAGAACUCGGGUGAAGGAACUAGGCAAAAUGGUGCCGUAACUUCGGGAGAAGGCACGCUGAUAUGUAGGUGAAGCGACUUGCUCGUGGAGCUGAAAUCAGUCGAAGAUACCAGCUGGCUGCAACUGUUUAUUAAAAACACAGCACUGUGCAAACACGAAAGUGGACGUAUACGGUGUGACGCCUGCCCGGUGCCGGAAGGUUAAUUGAUGGGGUUAGCGGUAACGCGAAGCUCUUGAUCGAAGCCCCGGUAAACGGCGGCCGUAACUAUAACGGUCCUAAGGUAGCGAAAUUCCUUGUCGGGUAAGUUCCGACCUGCACGAAUGGCGUAAUGAUGGCCAGGCUGUCUCCACCCGAGACUCAGUGAAAUUGAACUCGCUGUGAAGAUGCAGUGUACCCGCGGCAAGACGGAAAGACCCCGUGAACCUUUACUAUAGCUUGACACUGAACAUUGAGCCUUGAUGUGUAGGAUAGGUGGGAGGCUUUGAAGUGUGGACGCCAGUCUGCAUGGAGCCGACCUUGAAAUACCACCCUUUAAUGUUUGAUGUUCUAACGUUGGCCCCUGAUCGGGGUUGCGGACAGUGUCUGGUGGGUAGUUUGACUGGGGCGGUCUCCUCCUAAAGAGUAACGGAGGAGCACGAAGGUUGGCUAAUCCUGGUCGGACAUCAGGAGGUUAGUGCAAUGGCAUAAGCCAGCUUGACUGCGAGCGUGACGGCGCGAGCAGGUGCGAAAGCAGGUCAUAGUGAUCCGGUGGUUCUGAAUGGAAGGGCCAUCGCUCAACGGAUAAAAGGUACUCCGGGGAUAACAGGCUGAUACCGCCCAAGAGUUCAUAUCGACGGCGGUGUUUGGCACCUCGAUGUCGGCUCAUCACAUCCUGGGGCUGAAGUAGGUCCCAAGGGUAUGGCUGUUCGCCAUUUAAAGUGGUACGCGAGCUGGGUUUAGAACGUCGUGAGACAGUUCGGUCCCUAUCUGCCGUGGGCGCUGGAGAACUGAGGGGGGCUGCUCCUAGUACGAGAGGACCGGAGUGGACGCAUCACUGGUGUUCGGGUUGUCAUGCCAAUGGCACUGCCCGGUAGCUAAAUGCGGAAGAGAUAAGUGCUGAAAGCAUCUAAGCACGAAACUUGCCCCGAGAUGAGUUCUCCCUGAGACUUUAAGUCUCCUGAAGGAACGUUGAAGACGACGACGUUGAUAGGCCGGGUGUGUAAGCGCAGCGAUGCGUUGAGCUAA